rnacentral:rRNA from 1 species
AUGUGACCUCAAAUCAGGUAGGACUACCCGCUGAACUUAAGCAUAUCAAUAAGCGGAGGAAAAGAAACUAACAAGGAUUCCCCUAGUAACUGCGAGUGAAGCGGGAAAAGCUCAAAUUUAAAAUCUGGCAGUCUUUGAUUGUCCGAGUUGUAAUCUAGAGAAGUGUUAUCCGCGCUGGACCGUGUACAAGUCUCCUGGAAUGGAGCGUCAUAGAGGGUGAGAAUCCCGUCUUUGACACGGACUACCAGGGCUUUGUGAUGCGCUCUCAAAGAGUCGAGUUGUUUGGGAAUGCAGCUCAAAAUGGGUGGUAAAUUCCAUCUAAAGCUAAAUAUUGGCGAGAGACCGAUAGCGAACAAGUACCGUGAGGGAAAGAUGAAAAGAACUUUGGAAAGAGAGUUAAACAGUACGUGAAAUUGCUGAAAGRGAAACGCUUGAAGUCAGUCGCGUUGUCCAGGGAUCAACCUUGCUUUUGCUUGGUGCACUUUCUGGUUGACGGGUCAGCAUCAAUUUUGACUAUUGGAAAAAGAUUAGGGGAAUGUGGCAUCUUUGGAUGUGUUAUAGCCCUUGGUUGUAUACAAUAGUUGGGAUUGAGGAACUCAGCACGCCGCAAGGCCAGGUUUUUAACCAUGUACGUGCUUAGGAUGCUGGCAUAAUGGCUUUAAUCGACCCGUCUUGAAACACGGACCAAGGAGUCUAACAUGUCUGCGAGUGUUUGGGUGGAAAACCCGAGCGCGUAAUGAAAGUGAAAGUUGAGAUCCCUGUCGUGGGGAGCAUCGACGCCCGGACCAGACCUUUUGUGACGGUUCCGCGGUAGAGCAUGUAUGUUGGGACCCGAAAGAUGGUGAACUAUGCCUGAAUAGGGUGAAGCCAGAGGAAACUCUGGUGGAGGCUCGUAGCGAUUCUGACGUGCAAAUCGAUCGUCAAAUUUGGGUAUAGGGGCGAAAGACUAAUCGAACCAUCUAGUAGCUGGUUCUG